rnacentral:rRNA from 1 species
AACGAACGCUGGCGGCAGGCCUAAACAUGCAAGUCGAGCGGGCAUAGCAAUAUGUCAGCGGCGGACGGGUGAAUAACACGUGGGAACAUGCCCUUUGGUACGGAACAACUCAGGGAAACUUGAGCUAAUACCGUAUGUGCCGGUAACGGGAAAGAUUUAUCGCCAAGGGAUUGGCCCGCGUCCGAUUAGCUAGUUGGUGAGGUAACGGCUCACCAAGGCGACGAUCGGUAGCUGGUUUGAGAGAACGAUCAGCCACACUGGGACUGAGACACGGCCCAGACUCCUACGGGAGGCAGCA